UAUUGGACAAUGGGGGAAAGCCUGAUCCAGCAAUGCCGCGUGAGGUGAUGAAGGGCCCUAGGGGUUGUAAAGCUCUUUUACCCGGGAAGAUAAUGACUGUACCGGGGGGAAUAAGGCCCCGGGCUAACUCCGUGCCAGCAGGCCGCGGGUAAUUCGGAGGGGGGGCUAGGCGGUUGUUCCCCCAUUUUCUGGGGGGGUAAAGGCGCACCGUAGGGCGGGCUUUGUAAGUCGGAGGGGGAAAGCCGGGAGGCUCAACUCCAGAACUGCCUUUAGACUGCAUCGCUUAAUCUGGGGGGGGUCAGGGGAAUUCCAGGUGAGAGGGUAAAUUCGUGAAAUUGGAAGGACCCCCGUGGCAAGGGGGGCUACUGGCGGGAUUUGCGGUGGGGGAGAAAGCUAUGUG
rnacentral:rRNA from 1 species